rnacentral:rRNA from 1 species
CCUACGGGUGACAGCAGUGGGGAAUAUUGGGCAAUGGGCGCAAGCCUGACCCAGCAACGCCGCGUGAAGGAAGAAGGCUUUCGGGUUGUAAACUUCUUUUGUCAGGGAAGAGUAGAAGACGGUACCUGACGAAUAAGCCACGGCUAACUACGUGCCAGCAGCCGCGGUAAUACGUAGGUGGCAAGCGUUGUACGGAUUUACCGGGUGUAAAGGGCGGGUAGGCGGGUUGACAAGUCAGAUGUGAAAUCCUGCGGCUUAACCGCAGAACUGCAUUUGAAACUGUUGAUCUUGAGUACUGGAGAGGCAGACGGAAUUCCUAGUGUAGCGGUGAAAUGCGUAGAUAUUAGGAGGAACACCAGUGGCGAAGGCGGUCUGCUGGACAGCAACUGACGGUGAGGCGCGAAAGCGUGGGGAGCAAACAGGAUUAGAUACCCGAGUAGUC